rnacentral:misc_RNA from 1 species
CUUGGGAGGAGCAUAAGCUCAGGUGGAGGAUUAUCUGUUCCUGGUCUUGCAUCUCCCAAUGUUGCCCCCACCAACCAUGUUUCCCAUAGAACUUGUAAUCCGAGGUCCUGCAUUUCCCAAGAUUGGGGAUACUCCCAAUCCUGGCACAGCAUUCCGGUUGCCAAUUCCAGCAGAGGUUGGAAGAAUCCCAGGAAUGGAACCACCAACUCCAUUUGUGUUACUACUAAAUCCAGGAUUUCCUACGACACUUAUGCCUCCUCUAUUUGUGACUCCUGAAUGUCCAUGAGAGCCGCCAUGAGACAACUGAG